AACGAACGCUGGCGGCAUGCCUAACACAUGCAAGUCGAACGAGACCUUCGGGUCUAGUGGCGCACGGGUGCGUAACGCGUGGGAACCUGCCCUUAGGUUCGGAAUAACUCCCCGAAAGGGGUGCUAAUACCGGAUAAUGUCUUCGGACCAAAGAUUUAUCGCCUUUGGAUGGGCCCGCGUUGGAUUAGCUAGUUGGUAGGGUAAAAGCCUACCAAGGCGACGAUCCAUAGCUGGUCUGAGAGGAUGAUCAGCCACACUGGGACUGAGACACGGCCCAGACGCCAACGGGAGGGAGGAGGGGGGAAAAUGGGAAAAAGGGGAAAAAGCAGGACAAAAAAGGGCCGGGGGAGGAAGAAGGGCGUAAGGGUAGAAAGCUUUUUUACCCGGGGAAAAAAAGAAAAGACGGGGGAAAAAAGAAGCGGAAAAACCCAGAC
rnacentral:rRNA from 1 species